rnacentral:rRNA from 1 species
GACAGAGGUGCCAAGCGUUAGGCGGAAUCACUGGGCUUAAAGCGUGUGUAGGCGGAUUUGUAAGUACCUUGGGAAAUCCCACGGCUCAACCGUGGAACUGCUCGGUAUACUGCUUAUCUUGAGCCACUUAGGGGCUACCGGAACAAAUGGUGGAGCGGUGAAAUGCGUAGAUAUCAUUUGGAACGCCAAUGGUGAAAACAGGUAGCUGGGAGUGUGCUGACGCUGAGACACGAAAGCCAGGGGAGCGAACGGG